rnacentral:rRNA from 1 species
UGCAAGUCGAGCGGCAGCGCGGGGGCAACCCUGGCGGCGAGCGGCGAACGGGUGAGUAAUACAUCGGAACGUGUCCCGUAGUGGGGGAUAGCCCGGCGAAAGCCGGAUUAAUACCGCAUAUGCUCUACGGAGGAAAGUGGGGGACUCGCAAGGGCCUCACGCUAUGGGAGCGGCCGAUGUCCGAUUAGCUUGUUGGCGGGGUAAUGGCCCACCAAGGCGACGAUCGGUAGCUGGUCUGAGAGGAUGAUCAGCCACACUGGGACUGAGACACGGCCCAGACUCCUACGGGAGGCAGCAGUGGGGAAUUUUGGACAAUGAGGGAAACCCUGAUCCAGCCAUGCCGCGUGCGGGAAGAAGGCCUUCGGGUUGUAAACCGCUUUUGGUCGGAAAGAAAAGGCGCACCCUAAUACGGGGCGUUCUUGACGGUACCGGCAGAAUAAGCACCGGCUAACUACGAGCCAGCAGCCGCGGUAAUACGUAGGGUGCGAGCGUUAAUCGGAUUUACUGGGCGUAAAGCGUGCGUAGGCGGUUUGUUAAGUCGGUUGUGAAAGCCCCGGGCUCAACCUGGGAAUUGCAGU